UCUCCACCGUGCGGGGUCCAACACGAGAGUGGGACGGCAGGGGAGAAGCAACGCAGUGUUCGGUGCUGCAGGUCGGUUCAGAGAGCAUUUGUAUUAAAAGUGAGUGUUAAAGUGUUUUGCGAAUGAUAUAUGUUGAUAAAUGCUGUACUGUAUUAAUUGUUAGAGACUGUGCUCCAGUGUACUUUAGUCACUUUCUUUAAUAGGAAAGUUGUUUUUUGUUUAUCAUUAGUUUACUUUGCAAAUUGGCUGGUGAGCCCUCUUUACCUUUUGGUUAAUUAAAGCAUCACCUUGUGGCUUCAGAAACCAGUUUCCUCCCUUUUUUCUCUCUCCCGGUUAUUUGAUAUGUUGUUACUUCCCUUUGUACCCCUAGUCCAGGAGGGAACAUAACAUGCAUAUAUU